UACGAAGGGUGCAAGCGUUACUCGGAAUUACUGGGCGUAAAGCGUGCGUAGGUGGUUUGUUAAGUCUGCUGUGAAAGCCCCGGGCUCAACCUGGGAAUUGCAUUCGAGACUGCGUAGCUAGGGUGCGGAAGAGGGAAGCGGAAUUUCCGGUGUAGCGGUGAAAUGCGUAGAUAUCGGAAGGAACACCAGUGGCGAAAGCGGCUUCCUGGUCCAGCACCGACGUUCAGGCACGAAAGCGUGGGGAGCAAACAGG
rnacentral:rRNA from 1 species